AUGGAACUGGGGGACCGGCUUACACUGCCAGUCGUGCGGAAGACGAUAGCUUGCUCCCGGAUGUUAGCGUCGGAUGGCUGAGUAGCACGUGGGUAUCCUGCCUGUAAGACUGGGAUAACUCCGUGAAACUGGAGCUAAUACCUGAUAGUUCCUUGUACCGCCUGGUUCAAGGAUGAUAGACGGUUUCGGCUGUCACUUACAGAUGGACCCGCGGCGCAUUAUCUAGUUGGUGGGUUUAUGGCUCACCCAGGCGACGAUGCGUAGCCGACCUGAGAGGGUGAUCGGCCACUCUGGGACUGACACACGGUCCAUACUCCUACGGGAGUUAGCAUUAGGGAAUCUUCCGCUUUGGACGAUGG
rnacentral:rRNA from 1 species